rnacentral:lncRNA from 1 species
GUGUUUGUAUAUUAUUUAAGAUAAACAAUUCUUGGGCUACCUUGAUGUUUAGGUAGGAGACAAGCAGAUGCAUGAAAAAUGAUUAACAAUACAAGAGCCAACUCACAAGUACACAACAACUUUGCUUCAUUCAAAUAUACGCAAGAGACAACAAUUGUCACUAACCAAUUCAAAGCCAAUAGAUAUGGAAUCAAUAAGCGGCAAUUAGAUGUUGAAGUCAAAAUCAUCCAAAUACAGGUAAAUCAGACUUAAAGCCAAUGAAGUCAAAAUCAUCCAAAUACAUGUAAAACAAACUUAAAGCUAAAGAAGUUGAAAUCAUCUAAUUACAUGGACUUCAGAUUAAAUAAUUUGAAACACGUUUCCCCUUGCGCAUGGUUAUAUUUAGUGAAUCUCCACAUCUCACUCCAUGGUUAUUUUUGCACAUACUUUCAACAUACGGGACAACUCAGGGACCGGUUCACUUCCUUCGGUUGUGCCACUUGAUUCGCCUUGCAAUGGAUACUCUUCAUCGGGCGAAACGUUACAAAACUUGAAGAACCCACAGUCGUGAGUACAGGAAUGGAACAACUUUCCUUGAUUCUUGGAAUUUUUUUCUACCUCCAACCAUCUAACGAACCCAUCUCCACAGUUUGGGCAUCUCUUCUUUUUGGAGCAUUCUGGCAUCAUGUGUUCUGCCCCCAGCAAGAAUGACAAAUUCCUGUGUUCCUCCUAGCCAUCAACAAUACUGAUUCAUUCACAAAAAAACUACUGGUUCAUCAUAAAUUGACAGGAUGAAUAACGUUGCAAUUUUUCCACUCUACAAGCUGAACUGUAAUGAUAUGGGAAAAAAACACGGUAUCUUUCUCAACGCAUGCAUUUCACCAUCAACAACUCCAUCAAUUUAACUGUAAAUCGGACUUCACAUAACAACCCCAUCAAUUAACUGUAAAUUAGACAUAACAUACGUAGAUUGUGCAGACACAACCUUGAAAUAAAUUCUUCAAUUUCUAGAAUGAGAAUUGGGCAUACAAGAAAAUCCAAUUUCUCAGAUAUAAAAACCUCAGGUUCUUCAUAUUUCAACAGAUCUACAUUCAGGUCACUGUAUUGCCCUAAACCUUAAAUAUUAAAAUUAAAAUAAAAAUGGAAUUCNNNN